UCUCAAACUGUGCACCGAAGCUGCGGAUAUCGAAAGAUAUGGUAGGGGAGCGUUCUGUAGGUCUGUGAAGGUGUCUUGUAAAGGAUGCUGGAGAUAUCAGAAGUGCGAAUGCUGACAUGAGUAGCGAUAAAGGGCGUGAAAAGCGCCCUCGCCGAAAGCCCAAGGUUUCCUACGCAACGUUCAUCGGCGUAGGGUGAGUCGGCUCCUAAGGCGAGGCAGAAAUGCGUAGUCGAUGAGAAACAGGUCAAUAUUCCUGUACCGAUUCUAGAUGCGAUGUGGGGACGGAGAAGGUUAGGUCAGCCGGGUGUUGGACGUCCCGGUUUAAGCGUGUAGGCGUGCCCCUUAGGCAAAUCCGGGGGGCUGAGCUGAGGCGUGAUGACGAGGAACCACGGUUCCGAAGUGAUUGAUACCAAGCUUCCAGGAAAAGCCACUAAGCUUCAGUCUAGAGUUAACCGUACCGCAAACCGACACAGGUGGGCAGGAUGAAAAUUCUAAGGCGCUUGAGAGAACUCAGGAGAAGGAACUCGGCAAAUUAACACCGUAACUUCGGGAGAAGGUGUGCCCCGGUAGCGUGUAGAGACUUGCUCUCGAAGCGCGAUGGGGUUGCAGUGAAAUGGUGGCUGCGACUGUUUAAUAAAAACACAGCACUCUGCAAACACGAAAGUGGACGUAUAGGGUGUGACGCCUGCCCGGUGCCGGAAGGUUAAGUGAUGGGGUGCAAGCUCUUGAUCGAAGCCCCGGUAAACGGCGGCCGUAACUAUAACGGUCCUAAGGUAGCGAAAUUCCUUGUCGGGUAAGUUCCGACCUGCACGAAUGGCGUAACGAUGGCCACACUGUCUCCUCCUGGGACUCAGCGAAGUUGAAAUGUUUGUGAAGAUACAAUCUACCCGCGGCUAGACGGAAAGACCCCAUGAACCUUUACUGUAGCUUUGCAUUGGACUUUGAACCGGUUUGUGUAGGAUAGGUGGGAGACUGUGAAGCCGGGACGCUAGUUUCGGUGGAGUCAACCUUGAAAUACCACCCUGAUUUGUUUGAGGUUCUAACCUUGGUCCGUGAAUCCGGAUCGGGGACCGUGCAUGGUAGGCAGUUUGACUGGGGCGGUCUCCUCCCAAAAGGUAACGGAGGAGUACGAAGGUACGCUUAGGGCGGUCGGACAUCGCCCACAAAGUGCAAUGGCAAAAGCGUGCUUGACUGCGAGACCCACAAGUCGAGCAGGUACGAAAGUAGGUCAUAGUGAUCCGGUGGUUCUGUAUGGAAGGGCCAUCGCUCAACGGAUAAAAGGUACUCUGGGGUU
rnacentral:rRNA from 1 species